rnacentral:rRNA from 1 species
CAGCCGCCGCGGUAAUACGGAGGAUCCAAGCGUUAUCCGGAAUCAUUGGGUUUAAAGGGUCCGUAGGCGGUCUUGUAAGUCAGUGGUGAAAGCCCAUCGCUCAACGGUGGAACGGCCAUUGAUACUGCAGGACUUGAAUUAUUGGGAAGUAACUAGAAUAUGUAGUGUAGCGGUGAAAUGCUUAGAGAUUACAUGGAAUACCAAUUGCGAAGGCAGGUUACUACCAAUUGAUUGACGCUGAUGGACGAAAGCGUGGGUAGCGAACAGGAUUAGAUACCCCUGUAGUCCCUGUCUCUUAUAC